AGCGCCAGGGAAUUACGAGCAAUGCUUAAAACCCAAAGGAUUUGACGGUAUCCCAUCCACCUAGAGGAGCCUGUUCUAUAAUCGAUAACCCCCGCUACACCUAACCACUCCUAGCUUAUCAGCCUGUAUACCUCCGUCGGAAGCCUACCAUGUGAAUGUUCUCAGUUAGCUUAAUGACCACCGUCAAAACGUCAGGUCAAGGUGCAGUUUAUGGGGUGGGAAGCAAUGGGCUACAGUUUCUAAUCUAGAACACACGAAAAACUGGGUGAAACCCUAGUCAUGAAGGCGGAUUUAGUAGUAAAAAGAAAAUAGAGUGUUCUUUUUAACUUGGCCCUGGGAUGUGUACACACCGCCCGUCACCCUCUUCGACUGUUAUUAACACUGUUUCAUAACUCCCCCCCCCCCCCCCCCCACAUCCUAGAAGAGGCAAGUCGUAACAUGGUAAGUGUACUGGAAAGUGCACUUGGUUAACAA
rnacentral:rRNA from 1 species